UGAACGCUGGCGGCAGGCUUAACACAUGCAAGUCGAGCGGGGUGAUGUAGCUUGCUACAUUACCUAGCGGCGGACGGGUGAGUAAUGCUUAGGAAUCUGCCUAUUAGUGGGGGACAACAUUCCGAAAGGAAUGCUAAUACCGCAUACGCCCUACGGGGGAAAGCAGGGGAUCUUCGGACCUUGCGCUAAUAGAUGAGCCUAAGUCAGAUUAGCUAGUUGGUGGGGUAAAGGCCUACCAAGGCGACGAUCUGUAGCGGGUCUGAGAGGAUGAUCCGCCACACUGGGAGUGAGACACGGCCCAGACUCCUACGGGAGGCAGCAGUGGGGAAUAUUGGACAAUGGGCGAAAGCCUGAUCCAGCCAUGCCGCGUGUGUGAAGAAGGCCUUUUGGUUGUAAAGCACUUUAAGCGAGGAGGAGGCUACUUAGAUUAAUACUCUAGGAUAGUGGACGUUACUCGCAGAAUAAGCACCGGCUAACUCUGUGCCAGCAGCCGCGGUAAUACAGAGGGUGCGAGCGUUAAUCGGAUUUACUGGGCGUAAAGCGUGCGUAGGCGGCUUUUUAAGUCGGGAUGUGAAAUCCCUGAGCUUAACUUAGGAAUUGCAUUCGAUACUGGGAAGCUAGAGUAUGGGAGAGGAUGGUAGAAUUCCAGGUGUAGCGGUGAAAUGCGUAGAGAUCUGGAGGAAUACCGAUGGCGAAAGGCAGCCAUCUGGCCUAAUACUGACGCUGAGGUACGAAAGCAUGGGGAGCAAACAGGAUUAGAUACCCUGGUAGUCCAUGCCGUAAACGAUGUCUACUAGCCGUUGGGGCCUUUGAGGCUUUAGUGGCGCAGCUAACGCGAUAAGUAGACCGCCUGGGGAGUACGGUCGCAAGACUAAAACUCAAAUGAAUUGACGGGGGCCCGCACAAGCGGUGGAGCAUGUGGUUUAAUUCGAUGCAACGCGAAGAACCUUACCUGGUCUUGACAUAGUAAGAACUUUCCAGAGAUGGAUUGGUGCCUUCGGGAACUUACAUACAGGUGCUGCAUGGCUGUCGUCAGCUCGUGUCGUGAGAUGUUGGGUUAAGUCCCGCAACGAGCGCAACCCUUUUCCUUAUUUGCCAGCGGGUUAAGCCGGGAACUUUAAGGAUACUGCCAGUGACAAACUGGAGGAAGGCGGGGACGACGUCAAGUCAUCAUGGCCCUUACGACCAGGGCCACACACGUGCUACAAUGGUCGGUACAAAGGGUUGCUACCUAGCGAUAGGAUGCUAAUCUCAAAAAGCCGAUCGUAGUCCGGAUUGGAGUCUGCAACUCGACUCCAUGAAGUCGGAAUCGCUAGUAAUCGCGGAUCAGCAUGUCACGGUGAAUACGUUCCCGGGUCU
rnacentral:rRNA from 1 species